AGUAAAUAAAAAUUAUGAAAGCAAAAAAUUAUGGCGGUAUUUUAAGCUUUUCAGAGGAAUUUGCUCUUUAAUGGAUAAAACACCUAAAUCUUACUUGAAUUUGUUAAAUCAAUUUGUAUACCACUAUAAAAACAAUUAAUAACUCUAAUUGUUUAAAUUUAUUAAAUUAAAUUAUGUUAAGUCAAGGUGCAGUAAAAAUUUAAGAAUGAAGUGAAUUACAUUUCUUUUUAGAAAUAAAAAAUUAAAUUUACAAAUAGGAUUUGAAAGUAAAAUUAAAAUAGAAUGUUAAUUUGAAUAAAGCUCUAAAAUAUGUACAUAUCGCCCGUCACUCUUUUACAAG
rnacentral:rRNA from 1 species